UACGUAGGGUGCAAGCGUUAUCCGGAAUUAUUGGGCGUAAAGAGCUCGUAGGCGGUUUGUCGCGUCUGCCGUGAAAGUCCGGGGCUCAACUCCGGAUCUGCGGUGGGUACGGGCAGACUAGAGUGAUGUAGGGGAGACUGGAAUUCCUGGUGUAGCGGUGAAAUGCGCAGAUAUCGGGAGGAACACCGAUGGCGAAGGCAGGUCUCUGGGCAUUAACUGACGCUGAGGAGCGAAAGCAUGGGGAGCGAACAGG
rnacentral:rRNA from 1 species